GUUUUUUUUUUCUUAACCAUUCCAGUGCUUUCCAGAAGGUGUGGGGAUCAAUUCUACACCUGGAUUUACUGUUAGAGUGUUUAUCGACAGAAGUCACCUGCGAGUCUGGCACUGGCUGCAACCCUAGGUAAUGGAGGACUGUGCCCCCUGUCAGGUGACCAAGUGAUGUCACCCCACGCCAUCCGCAGCAUGCUUUCCAUGAUGCAGGUGGCUGGAAUGAAUGAUUAUUCCAGAAUGGUUCAUUUCAAGACAUCUGUGCCUGGCAAGUCCAGUCAGUCUGGUGUCGUGCUGAUCGUGGUUCCUGG